rnacentral:rRNA from 1 species
AACGAACGCUGGCGGCAGGCCUAACACAUGCAAGUCGAGCGGACCCUUCGGGGUUAGCGGCGGACGGGUGAGUAACGCGUGGGAAUAUGCCCUUCUCUACGGAAUAGUCCUGGGAAACUGGGGGUAAUACCGUAUACGCCCUUUGGGGGAAAGAUUUAUCGGGGAAGGAUUAGCCCGCGUUGGAUUAGGUAGUUGGUGGGGUAAUGGCCUACCAAGCCGACGAUCCAUAGCUGGUUUGAGAGGAUGAUCAGCCACGCUGGGACUGAGACACGGCCCAGACUCCUACGGGAGGCAGCAGUGGGGAAUCUUAGACAAUGGGGGCAACCCUGAUCUAGCCAUGCCGCGUGAGUGAUGAAGGCCUUAGGGUUGUAAAGCUCUUUCAGCUGGGAAGAUAAUGACGGUACCAGCAGAAGAAGCCCCGGCUAACUCCGUG